AAGGGUAUAGCUCAGUGAUAGAGCAUGUGCUUAGCAUGCACGAGGUCCUGGGUUCAGUCCUCAGUACCUCCU
rnacentral:tRNA from 1 species